rnacentral:misc_RNA from 1 species
UUUCCGUGGGUGAACCUGCGGAAGGAUCAUUCAUAAUAAAGUGUUUUAUGGCACUGUUUAAAAAUCCAUAUCCACCUUGUGUGCAAUGUUAGAUCUCGUCAAUCUUGGCGAGAUUUUUAUACAUCAACUCAUUCUUUAACUAAUUUGUCUGAAAAAUAUUAUGAAUACUUAAUUCAAAAUACAACUUUCAACAACGGAUCUCUUGGCUCUC